UCGAUAACGCGACGCGGCUGGCCGAAAGGAGCACGACGAACCCCUCUCUCUGCUCAACAGCCACGCUGAGCGUGGGGAACGCGACAGCGAAAGCCGCGCGAAUCGCCAGCGAGCCAACCCGUACCACACCUUCUUCGGUCCGCGUAGAAAACCGGCUCGCGGUAGGACGGGACGCAGACAACGAUCGCUUUCGACCGAGGGCGUCGCACGCCGAGCGAGCACUCAUUUGCCAACGCAAAAUCCAAAACUGGGUGAGCACUACAUGGCUAAUAGUAACCUUUCUCUAUCGCCAUGUUCACUUUCUCGCGCCUUUCGGCACACCUGCUCCCCAUAUAUAUAGCGCCAACUCUUCCCUUCCCUGCCUUGUGCCACGCUCCCCUUGCACCAGGCCCUCGCACAGCAGACCUCCGCACCAGACCCUCCUGUUCGGUAAACUUGAAGGAAACGAGUUCCCCUAAGCUUCCAGUACAAAAUGAAGUUACUAAUGACUAGAAGUGUGUUUUCAAUGUGUUGCACAAGACCAUCCGCUUUCUCACCAGACCCUCCGCUCGAACGAAGCCGUACAUUUUACAAGUUUUGCACCAACGCCUCCUCACCAGGACCCUCCCCUGCGAACGAACGUAUUUAUUUUACAAGUUUGGCACCAGGCCCUCCGCACCAGACCCUCCGCCGAGACACAGUCAAGCGUUAUUCGAUGCGCCGACGCGGCUGGCCGAAAAGAGCCACGACGAACCCCUCUGUGCUCAACCAGGCGUGCGCCUGAGCCGUGAGAAACGCGGCAGCUGAAAGCCGCGAUCACCUCAAGCCAACCCGUACCAGACCUCUUCGGUCCGCUUUCGAAACCGGCUCGCAGAUGACGGGACGCAGACAACGAUCGCUUCGACCGAGGGGUUCCAAAUUCCUUCGCACGACAACCGCAAGCGAGCGCUCAUUUGCAGAUGAAAAAUACAAAACUGGGUGGCAUUUCAUAUAUAGAAACCUUUAUCUCCCACGUCCCUUUCGGCGCACCUUUCAGGACGCCUGCUUCCCAUGUAUAUAGCGCCGACCUUAACAUACCUGCCUUGUGCCACGAUCUCCCCCAGUUGCCAUGCCAGGGUCCCUCCGGGCACCUGAGCUCCUGUGCACGGCCCUCCGGGUACCUGACCCUCUCUUAGGCAUCAACCCCUCCGGGCACCUGACCUUGUUCCUAGGCACAGACCUCCGGACCUGUUUGACCCUCCCAGGCACCAGCCCCUCCGGGCACCUGACCCCUCGCUAGGCACCAGGCCCUCCGGGCACCUGACCCUCCCUAGGCACCAGGCCCUCCGGGGGCACUCCUGACCCUCCCUAGGCACCAGGCCUCCGGGCACCUGACCUUGAUUACUCGUUGAUAGAAGAAUUUCAAGCCCCCAAUCCCUAUCACGAAAGGAGCUUCGUUCAAAGGAUUCGCACUGUUUCAAAGCAUGGUCUCAGUUCACCUUGAUCCUUCUAAGCAGCAGACCUUUUAUUGGAGUGUCAAUCUCUUGUAGGCUAAACGCCACUUUCCUCUCUAAGAAGUUAGCACGAUGCGUGAUGUUAGAAUCGGUGAACUAUUUAUACAGGCUAGAGACUCGCCCGUUAUCGGAAUUAAUCAAACAAAUCGCUCCACCACCUAAGAACGGCCAUGCGCACCACCCUACCGAAUCAAGAAAAAAGAUAUCAAUUUGGUCCUGUCAAUGCUUAGUCGUCCAGUGUGCGGACUGGGUGUGUUUUUACCACGUAGCUCUUCGUUGAUCCCUGUUGAAUCAAAAUUAGCCGCAGGCUCCACUCCUGGUUGGUGACCUUCCUGUUCUUUAUAUGCUUUGUUCCUAAGUUUCAUUGCAACCAUACUUCCGCUGGAAUCCCGAAAAGUUUGGUUCAGAGUCAUGAAACGACACUUGCACAACGCUAGUUGGCAUCGUUUAUGCUUUAUUAUGGUUUCAGAACAUGACAGUAUUUAUCGUCUUCGAACUCUGACUAGUUCUUGACUAAUGAAAAAUAUGGUGUGCUUGGCAAAUGCUUUCGCAGUUGUUCGUCUUGCGAAGCGACCCUUUGCGAAGAGCCGCGCACGCGUCAGGUUCGCGCAGUGACCGUCGCGAGACGGACCGCACGAACAUGCCUCAGAUGCAACUACGAGCUUUUUAAGCGCAAGGGACUUUAAUAUGAGCGCACAAUUGGAACUGUCAUUAGCACGGCUGCUGGCACCAGACUUGCCCUCCAAUAGAUCCUCGUUAAAGGCGGGUUUUAAAAGUGUACUCGUUCCAAUUGCGGAGCGCAGGCCUCAAAGAUCCGUAUUUGCUAUUUUUCGUCACUCUACCUCUCCCCUAGGCCGGAGUGGUAAGUUGCGCGCCUUGGUGGUGCCUUCCUUGGAUGUGUGGUAUACGCUUUCUCAUGCUCCCUCUCCGAAUCACACCCUGAUUCCCCGUUGUCAACAUGGUAGGUCUAUCACGUACCAUCGACAGUUGAUAACGGGCAGACGUUAUUUGAAAGAUGCUCGCCUGCUCGGCCAUGCAGCAUGCGAUCGCACAAAGUUAUCCAGAGUCAGUUAAAAGGACGGGGCCGAGACCCCGACUGAUUUUUUUUGAACUAAAUAAAAGCGCUCUUUCCCGGCUUUGACGGUCGGAGUUGGUUUGCGAUGUAUUAGCUCUAGAAUUGCCACAGUUUCCAAGUAAGAAAUGGAUCAUCUAAGGAACCUCGACUGAUUUCAUGAGCCAUUCGCGGUUUCAGCCGUAGAGGCAUGGCUUAAUCUUUGAGACAAGCAUAUGACUACUGUAGGAUCAACCAGAA
rnacentral:rRNA from 1 species